AUAGGAUGACUCAAUUAUAUUUGUGUUGGGAUAUAGGAAUGUUUGUUUCCUUUGCUCUUCAUAGAAUCCACUCUCUCAUGCAUACUGCAUUUCUCUUCUCUUGGCCCAUCUCUAACACCCUGUUGCUUUCAAGUGCUCCUCUGCUGAGCCUCCCAAAAACUAGCAUAUACAAAUCAGCUCUAACUCAAGCCCCUCCUAUUGGGAUUUCAGUGAGACUUACUGCUCCAGGGCAUUUUAUUCCACUUGCCUACCCAACAAUGCUUAAUAAUUUCUGAACACCCUUUGGUUUUAUAUGAUUUGACCUGCAGCUGGAAAGGGCAGCUGAGAAAUACUGUUGUUUAAACAAAUAUAGCUCAAUGAAUUGUGCCUUACUAAUUUUGAUUGUCUGAAAUCUCCAGAUGUGUAUUGGGAAUGAAAGAAUCAUAAUAGCAAAGGUGCUCUAGCAAAUCUAGAGACCUUGGUUUUUAUAAACUCAAAGAAGAGCAUUUGUCUGAGAUCUAGAGGCCUUAGGAUAUUAAGUAAGAUUGUUUUCCAAAAAGUGUAUAAUUUCUUAGUUUCAAUAGGACUUUUAGCUGAAAAAAUUCAAAGAAUGGGUUGUUCUCUACAUAAGAAAAUAAUGAGUAAAAUGUCUAUGUAUGGGCAUGACUGUAUAGGAAUUAAUUUUGCGUAGAAGCUUGUGUCCAUUGUGAAAGUGGCUGAAAAUAUAUUGCAGAGGGUUUUGUAAAAGGAAAUAACCACAGUGCUGAAAUAAGCAGUGUAAGAAAAUGCCAUUGAAGAGAUGAAAAGCUAUGAAAUGAAAUGAAAAGAAAAAUGGAGUGGGGAAAAAAAGACUAAUACUACCGUAACCUUGAAAGUACAGAAUCCAUUUUAUAUCUGUACAUAAAGGCCAUCCCUUCCAAUAGAAAGAAAAAAUGGACUGAACCUUUUCUGCACUUAAAUGCACAAAGCUUUAACAGUUAAAAACAGAUGCGUUCCUUAUUCCAGUCUCUCUAUUGUAUCCCAUCUCCAAAGCCCACCUAUGGAUAGGCUGCAGAAGUGUAUUCGUUGUCUGACUUCCUUUCCCUUCCCAGAUCCAUGUGGCAUUUUUGGGGGAUCCUCUGUAAGACCAUGAAUUCUACUAUUCUCAUGCACUGUAAAAUAAAAUAUGAGAAUAUUAGGUCACUUUAAAAAAAAUUGUCUCCUAAAGAAAGAACUUUAAAUAAUAUUUCUUUGCAAAGGAUUCCUGUGAAAUCCUUUAUAUGAGAGCAUAGGUCCUAGCUUGUAUGUAAAGAAUACCAGUGAUGCCCAGUAAACUAUGUACACUUACAUUAGUUUAAUAUUCCCAAGUGUACUAAAUCUAAUCUACUUGAUUGUGAGGUACUGCUUCUUCUUAAUAAUAAUUUGUUUGACAGUAAUGUCUAGUGGCUCAAACUGAAAACCGGGACCCAUUGUGCUAAAUGCUGUACACAUACAUAAGAAACGCAUCCAUGCCACAGUCUAAGUAGACAAGGUUGGAGGCAGGAAGCAUUAUCAUUAUCAUCAUCAUCCUGUUUACAGACGGGGACUUGAGACAAACAUAUUGUGACUUGCCAAGGUCACACAGAAAAUCUGUUAUAGAAGUGGGACCUGAACCCAAACCUCCUGAGUCCCAGUCCAGGUACCUAACCACAUGACUGACCUAGUAUCUUGUGACUGCCACUGACAUAACAAAUACAAGCAAAAAACCCCUAUAAUGUAAAACAAGUAUAUUUAUGCAUCCCUACUGUAUGAAACAAGUGUCUUCCUCCUUUCCUAACUUAGCCAGAAGAGGGCACUACAAUGCUAAGGCUGUUUUUUAGGGGGUUUUGUUUUUUUGUUUUUGUUUUUUUGCGUGGAGUGCUUCCGAGAGCUGGCUGCCUUGUCCAAGGUAUUAUCUUUAAUCCUUGCAAAGCCAGAGGGAGGUGAGGCCGCUGAGCCCCAUGCAGGAUAAGGCCCUGUAUACAUGCACCAUGUCCUGCAAACUAUAUGGAGAAUAAUAUUGUGUAUUAUGCUUCUUGAAACAAGAUUUUUCAGGUAUUUGAUGAUGAGAAAGAUGAAGUGAUGAAAACGUGAUAUCCUUUUGCAAAUGAGAUGAAGAUUUCUAAUAACCUCCCCCCUUGGGAUUUGAAUUCACUGUCCUGGAAACCCAGAAACUUUAUCCAUUAGGCUACACAAUCUUGGUUUCGAUGCAGCAG